rnacentral:tRNA from 1 species
GGGUAGGGUGGCCGAGUAGGCGGCGAGUUGUAGCCUCGUGUACGGGAGAUAGAGCCCCCCAACCAA